UAUCUGAAAGCGAAUGUACGCGCUAAGUUUCGGCCUUAGUCUUGGGAUUUCUUUCUCUCAGAUAU
rnacentral:tRNA from 1 species